UCGUGCUAGAUGGGGAGGUAGCGGUGCCCUAUAACCCGCAAACCGCUAUAGCGGGAUUGAAGUCCUGUCCCAGGCCUGUACUUGUGGGGUCAUGGUUCAAAUAAGUGGCGAAGAUGAUCGGGUCCUGCGCAACGAAACUUCAUGAACCCUGUCAGAUCCGGAAGGAAGCAGCAGUAAGUGAACACUUUCGUGUGCCGUAGGGGUGCCUGGUAGGAGUUAACUGUUUGGUUACCGCCUAUAAGUAUUUUGUCAAAGAUAGGUGCACGA
rnacentral:SRP_RNA from 1 species